UGGGGAAUUUUGGACAAUGGGGGAAACCCUGAUCCAGCCAUCCCGCGUGUGCGAUGAAGGCCUUCGGGUUGUAAAGCACUUUUGGCAGGAAAGAAACGUCGCGGGCUAAUACCCCGCGAAACUGACGGUACCUGCAGAAUAAGCACCGGCUAACUACGUGCCAGCAGCCGCGGUAAUACGUAGGGUGCAAGCGUUAAUCGGAAUUACUGGGCGUAAAGCGUGCGCAGGCGGUUCGGAAAGAAAGAUGUGAAAUCCCAGAGCUUAACUUUGGAACUGCAUUUUUUAACUACCGGGCUAGAGUGUGUCAGAGGGAGGUGGAAUUCCGCGUGUAGCAGUGAAAUGCGUAGAUAUGCGGAGGAACACCGAUGGCGAAGGCAGCCUCCUGGGAUAACACUGACGCUCGUGCACGAAAGCGUGGGGAGCAAACAGGAUUAGAUACCCUGGUAGUCCACGCCCUAAACGAUGUCAACUAGCUGUUGGGGGCCCUUCGGGGCCUUGGUAGCGCAGCUAACGCGUGAAGUUGACCGCCUGAGGAGUACGGUCGCAAGAUUAAAACUUAAAUGAAUUGACGGGGGUCAUAGCUGUUUCCCU
rnacentral:rRNA from 1 species